CACAUGCAAGUCGAGCGGGCACCUUCGGGUGUCAGCGGCAGACGGGUGAGUAACACGUGGGAACGUACCCUUCGGUUCGGAAUAACGCUGGGAAACUAGCGCUAAUACCGGAUACGCCCUUAUGGGGAAAGGUUUACUGCCGAAGGAUCGGCCCGCGUCUGAUUAGCUAGUUGGUGGGGUAACGGCCUACCAAGGCGACGAUCAGUAGCUGGUCUGAGAGGAUGAUCAGCCACACUGGGACUGAGACACGGCCCAGACUCCUACGGGAGGCAGCAGUGGGGAAUAUUGGACAAUGGGCGCAAGCCUGAUCCAGCCAUGCCGCGUGAGUGAUGAAGGCCUUAGGGUUGUAAAGCUCUUUUGUCCGGGACGAUAAUGACGGUACCGGAAGAAUAAGCCCCGGCUAACUUCGUGCCAGCAGCCGCGGUAAUACGAAGGGGGCUAGCGUUGCUCGGAAUCACUGGGCGUAAGGGCGCGUAGGCGGCCAUUCAAGUCGGGGGUGANAGCCUGUGGCUCAACCACA
rnacentral:rRNA from 1 species